CUGGGCGUAAGAGCUCGUAGGUGGUUUGUCGCGUUGUUCGUGAAAACUCACAGCUUAACUGUGGGCGUGCGGGCGAUACGGGCAGACUGGAGUACUGCAGGGGAGACUGGAAUUCCUGGUGUAGCGGUGGAAUGCGCAGAUAUCAGGAGGAACACCGGUGGCGAAGGCGGGUCUCUGGGCAGUAACUGACGCUGAGGAGCGAAAGCGUGGGGAGCGAACAGGAUUAGAUACCCUGGUAGUCCACGCCGUAAACGGUGGGUACUAGGUGUGGGUUUCCUUCCUUGGGAUCCGUGCCGUAGCUAACGCAUUAAGUACCCCGCCUGGGGAGUACGGCCGCAAGGCUAAAACUCAAAGAAAUUGACGGGGGCCCGCACAAGCGGCGGAGCAUGUGGAUUAAUUCGAUGCAACGCGAAGAACCUUACCUGGGUUUGACAUGCACAGGACGUGCCUAGAGAUAGGUAUUCCCUUGUGGCCUGUGUGCAGGUGGUGCAUGGCUGUCGUCAGCUCGUGUCGUGAGAUGUUGGGUUAAGUCCCGCAACGAGCGCAACCCCUAUCUUAUGUUGCCAGCGCGUCAUGGCGGGGACUCGUAAGAGACUGCCGGGGUCAACUCGGAGGAAGGUGGGGAUGACGUCAAGUCAUCAUGCCCCUUAUGUCCAGGGCUUCACACAUGCUACAAUGGCCGGUACAAAGGGCUGCGAAUCCGUGAGGUGGAGCGAAUCCCUUGAAAGCCGGUCUCAGUUCGGAUCGGGGUCUGCAACUCGACCCCGUGAAGUCGGAGUCGCUAGUAAUCGCAGAUCAGCAACGCUGCGGUGAAUACGUUCCCGGGCCUUGUACACACCGCCCGUCACGUCAUGAAAGUCGGUAACACCCGAAGCCGGUGGCCUAACCCGUAAGGGAGGGAGCCGUCGAAGGUGGGAUCGGCGAUUGGGACGA
rnacentral:rRNA from 1 species